rnacentral:rRNA from 1 species
GUACGGGAGGCAGCAGUGGGGAAUAUUGGACAAUGGGCGCAAGCCUGAUCCAGCAAUGCCGCGUGUGUGAAGAAGGCCUGCGGGUUGUAAAGCACUUUAAGCCGGAAAGAAGGGCGGAAGGUUAAUACCCUUCUGCAUUGACGUUACCGGCAGAAUAAGCACCGGCUAACUCCGUGCCAGCAGCCGCGGUAAUACGGAGGGUGCGAGCGUUAAUCGGAAUUACUGGGCGUAAAGCGCGCGUAGGCGGUUCGUUAAGUCCGCUGUGAAAGCCCCGGGCUUAACCUGGGAAUGGCAGUGGAUACUGGCGGGCUAGAGUGUGGUAGAGGGGUGUGGAAUUUCCGGUGUAGCAGUGAAAUGCGUAGAGAUCGGAAGGAACACCAGUGGCGAAGGCGGCACCCUGGACCAACACUGACGCUGAGGUGCGAAAGCGUGGGGAGCAAACAGGAUUAGAUACCCCGGU